GUGAAUCAUCAAAUUUUUGAACGCAAAUUGCGCUUCCUAGCAUCCCGGGGAGUAUGCCUGUUUGAGGGUCAGUAUUAUCAAAAAAAUCGGCUUGGUUGUUUAUUGUGACGUUUCCGGAGUUUGGGCUAUCUUAUCUUUUUUGGUUAAGUGGCUUAAAAUUGACCUUUUUUGCGCAUUUUUAGACGUACAUAAAUUUUUUUUAUUCGUCUAUUCUUAAUGCCAAAAUCUUAUUAGAUGCGAUCACAUAGUGUGUUUUCGUGUCCAUAAAAUUUUCAUGAUUUGA
rnacentral:misc_RNA from 1 species